AAAAGAGGUAACAAUUGAAGCUAAUUAG
rnacentral:sRNA from 1 species